CACGCCGUAAACGAUGGAUGCUAGCUGUUAGGAGUAUCGACCCUUCUAGUAGCGAAGCUAACGCGUUAAGCAUCCCGCCUGGGGAGUACGGUCGCAAGAUUAAAACUCAAAGGAAUUGACGGGGACCCGCACAAGUGGUGGAGCGUGUUCUUUAAUUCGAUGAUAAGCGAAGAACCUUACCAGGGCUUGACAUCCUUGGAAUUUCUGCGAAAGCAGAGAGUACUUUAUUGGACCAAGUGACAGGUGU
rnacentral:rRNA from 1 species